rnacentral:rRNA from 1 species
UACGGAGGGUGCAAGCGUUAUCCGGAUUCACUGGGUUUAAAGGGUGCGUAGGUGGCUAUAUAAGUCAGUGGUGAAAGCCCCGCGGCUCAACCGUGGAAUUGCCAUUGAAACUGCAUAGCUUGAGUACAGUUGAAGUGGGCGGAAUACAUCAUGUAGCGGUGAAAUGCUUAGAUAUGAUGUAGAACACCGAUUGCGAAGGCAGCUCACUAAGCUGUAACUGACACUGAGGCACGAAAGCGUGGGUAGCGAACAGG